UACGUAGGUGGCAAGCGUUGUCCGGAAUUAUUGGGCGUAAAGAGCAUGUAGGCGGGAAUCUAAGUCUGUUGUGAAAAUGCGGGGCUCAACCCCGUAUGGCGAUGGAAACUGGAUUUCUUGAGUGCAGGAGAGGAAAGGGGAAUUCCCAGUGUAGCGGUGAAAUGCGUAGAUAUUGGGAGGAACACCAGUGGCGAAGGCGCCUUUCUGGACUGUGUCUGACGCUGAGAUGCGAAAGCCAGGGUAGCGAACGGGAUUAGAUACCCCGGUAGUCCUGGCCGUAAACGAUGGGUACUAGGUGUAGGGGGUAUCGACCCCUCCUGUGCCGGAGUUAACGCAAUAAGUACCCCGCCUGGGGAGUACGGCCGCAAGGUUGAA
rnacentral:rRNA from 1 species